rnacentral:ncRNA from 26 species
UACUAAAGCGGAGAUGACAUUCCUCCCUACCCUCGCGCAGCCAAAACGCUGACAGCCUUAAAAACAGGGUACAACCGCCACUCGGCUAAUGAUGUCUACGUCCAC